rnacentral:misc_RNA from 1 species
GGAACAUGGGAGAUAGAGCAGAAAACAAGAUUCAUUACAAUUUGUUAAUCCUUCUUCCAUCUCAUUCAGAUUCUCAACUCCUUCCCCUUUUGCCUCUAAUGUAGCUCAAACAACAUCCCAUUGCUCUCUGCCGUUAUUCCCUCUUCUCUUGGAAAUGGCAGCUUCAGAACUCGAAACCGAAGAUGUUUGCUCUGAUAUCUACGCUAAUCUGGGGCUUAAGUCAUUGCACAAAGGAAUCCGGAGAAAUCCUCGGGUUCUCU